CUUUGGGGAGAAGAAGAAGAAGAAAAAAAAAAAAGAUUGGCAGCAGAUGUUAGCUCAGGGCCAAUCUUUAAAACAAAAAGACAAAAAUCAGCCAUAGUAAAAAAAGACAUCUUUAUAGGAGCUUAUCUUUGAUGGACCAACAGUUAGACUGAUAGCUGGCUUCCAUCAGAACAACCACUGGAAAUGAGGAGACGUCGGAGUAAUAUCUAUAGUGACUUGAAAGAAACUAACUGCCAUCCUAGAAUUUUCUACCCAGGAAAACUAUCUAUCUCUCAGUGAAGAAGGCAAAAUGAACACAAAGACAUUUUUAGACAAACAAAAACUGAGGAAGCUUACAAUCAGCAGACUUGCUGCAAGAGAAAUUCUAACAGAUGUUCUUCAGUACAAAGGCAAAUGAUCCUGGUUGGAAGCUGGAGAAGCAGGAUGAAUGAAGAGCAACAAAAGAGGAUUUCCACUUCCAGCCAAGAGGGGAUAGCAGUGACUGGCUUUACCCACCCACCUGAAACAACCACAUCAGACAAAUAAUGGUUUCAACAUACUGAUCAUCAGAUAAUGAAGGACAGUGAUUGCAGAAAGAUGAGGCACAAGCAAGGUCACCACAUCGUUGCUCCAGCUUACUGCCUUAGAGUUUCUGGGACACAGUAUAGGAAGAGUGAACCCAGGUGGAACCUACCUGAUUCCAAGAGUUGAAGAGACAGAGCUGGAACUUGGAGGAUCCCAAGGUGGCUAGAGUUUGCAAGGCAGAGUACCAGAAAAAAAAGAACAAUAGACAGAUCUGCAGAGGGUCUCCCUCAAAUGUUUGCAAGCACUGAUCAGCAGAUGCAUGUGAGAAAGUUAUCUGAGGCUGGGAAAAGAACCCCCAAAAAGAAUUUGAAGGAACAGUAUCCAGCACUCAUAUAGGUCAGGAAUAGUGCCUGUUUCCACCAGCCAGACUGGAAAACCUAGUAAUUAACAGGAUGUUGGGUAGAGUGCUCAGGAAAGUCUUGCCUCAGUAAGAAAAACAGUUAGUCCUGGACUGAGCACUGCCCUAGACCUGCCUAACAAGCCAGGAAACAAAGACCCAAAAGGAUCACUCUGCUUCCAAGGAGCUCAACUGCAUCCCAGACCAAAACUCAGGAUUAUAGGCAUACAAAAAUAUCCAGCACCCAAUGAAGUGAAUUCAUAACCUCUGGCAUCCAAAGAUUGCCAGGCAUGCAAGAGGCAGGAAAGCGUGACCCAUAAUGAGGAGAAAACAGUUGAAACUGACCCACAAUUGACAGAGAUGUUAGAAUUAGCAGAGAAGAAUGUUAAAACAGUUAUUCUAACUGUAUUUCAUUUGUUCAAAAAGUUAAGCAGAGGCAUGGCAGAUAUAAAAAAAGACACAUAGAACUUCUAGAGAUGAAAACUACAAUGUCUGAGAUGAAACACACACUGGAUGGGAUUAGCGAUUGCAGAAGAAAAGAUAGUGAACUUGAAGGUGGGGGCAUAGACGAACUCCAAAAUGAAACCUGGAGAGGAAAAUAGAAUUAAAAAAGAAAAAGGUCUCAGAGCCAUGGGGCAACUUCAAGCAGCGUAUUAAUAUGGACAAUUGGAGUCCUGAUUGAGGGGAGGACAGAAAAAAUAUUUGAAGAAAUAAUGGCCAAAAUUUUCUAAAUUUUAUCCAAAUUAUAAAGCCACAGAUACAACAAGAAACAUGAAGAAAACUAUACCAGCACACAUCAUAAAUAAAUUGUUGAAAAUUAGUGGUAAAGAUAAAGUAAAAAGUAAAAGGAGAAAAUCUUAACAGCAGACAGAGAGAAAAAGGCACAGGAUAUACAGAAGAACAAAGAUAGAGAUGACGGCAGAUUUAUUGUCAGAAACAACGCAGGUGGAAAGGGAUCA